UGAGGAGUAAGGUGAGCAUGUAAGAUGAGAGAGGAGCCGCGCCUGUACAAACAUGGUUUCUACUUUCUUAUGAAACGGGAGAAACAUACGGAAUGUAGCGGAGGAAAAGUAAACCUUAAGUAUUGAUACUAUUGAUAUUUGGAUCGACCCGCCCAUCCCUAUUAAUAAGACCGUUUCAAAUGAAUAUUCAUGAGUCCAGGAAGUGACGUAGAUGUUCCUAAGACGCUUCCGCUUGGUGGUAAACAGCGCUCAGAACAAUAGCGAUUGAGCACAACUGCUUCAAUUCUUUUAUUGACAGUAUGUCUAAAUUUAAGUUAGGACCAUGUUGUUCGGUUGGCGGAUGUUCCCUCAUGCCAGGUACAAACUUGCUUUAAGGUGAACAGAUUUCCAAAAGAACGCACAGUGAAACGCUUGGAUUGCUGCUGUAAAUAGAGACGGCUGGAUACCCACCAUCAACUCUUAUAAUAAAUGUAAUAUAUAUUAUUUCAUAAUAAAAUAUUGUGAACAAAUGUACUCAGUUGAA